GUGCCAAAGGUAGCGCAAGCCCCGAUCGCAGGCCGGCAUCCCGACCGUCAUACAGACAGCAUAGGAUCCGAUGGUCGAGUGUCGCACCGAUUGUAGGUGAGUGUCUGUUGUCCGAACCUUGGUCGGGCAUGUAUGUCAGGCCGAAUGUUGGCCAAUCACCGAACAUAGCAUGUCGACACGAUCACUUCGUAGAGUCUGAUAAUCGAGUAGGGUCCGACGUAUUCGGAUAGGACAUCGAUGAAGGGUCGAAUAUCCAUUAUCCGGCCCUCGAUUGGGCGUGCAC
rnacentral:lncRNA from 1 species